AGCAGACAUAGGAGCGGGUCAGAAGAAACGGGUCCGGACGGGUCCAGUUGGGUCAGAAAGRUGUGGAGAUGAUCAGCAGUGAUUCACAGUGGAGGAGGACCGUGCUGCAAACAGAAAACCACUGAUCAUUCAGAAGGUGAAGGAAACACCGUGGUUUUCAAAUCUCUUCUGAAACUCUUGUGACAUACAUUUGAGGUUGGCUGGUUCUGUGCAUGUAGCAACCGUCGCCGUGCAUCAGGGAGACGUCUGCAGGCUCAGAUGGACCUGAUAAAGAUCCAUG